rnacentral:rRNA from 1 species
GACGAACGCUGGCGGCGUGCUUAACACAUGCAAGUCGAACGGUGAAGCUCCAGCUUGCUGGAGUGGAUCAGUGGCGAACGGGUGAGUAACACGUGAGCAACCUGCCCCUGACUCUGGAAUAAGCGCUGGAAACGGCGUCUAAUACUGGAUACGAGAAGGGCCCGCAUGGGCACUUUCUGGAAAGUUUUUCGGUUGGGGAUGGGCUCGCGGCCUAUCAGCUUGCUGGUGAGGUAAUGGCUCACCAAGGCGACGACGGGUAGCCGGCCUGAGAGGGCGACCGGCCACACUGGGACUGAGACACGGCCCAGACUCCUACGGGAGGCAGCAGUGGGGAAUAUUGCACAAUGGGCGAAAGCCUGAUGCAGCGACGCCGCAUGAGGGAUGACGGCCUUCGGGUUGUAAACCUCUUUCAGCAGGGAAGAAGCGAAAGUGACGGUACCUGCAGAAGAAGCACCGGCUAACUACGUG